rnacentral:sRNA from 1 species
CCACCUGAAAAUGGACUCUCAGAGCACCCCUGUGAAACAGAACAGAUAAAUGCAAAGAGAAAAGAUACAACCAGUGACAAAGAUGAUUCGCUAGGAAGCCAACAAACAAAUGAACAAUGUGCUCAAAAGGCUGAGCCAACAGAGUCCUGCGAACAAGUUGCUGUCCAAGUGAAUAAUGGGGAUGCUGAAAGGGAGAUGCCCUGCCCGUUGCCCUGUGAUGAAGAAAGCCCAGAGGCAGAGCUACACAACCAUGGAAUCCAAAUUAAUUCCUGUUCUGUGCGACUGGUGGAUAUAAAAAAGGAAAAGCCAUUUUCUAUUUCAAAAGUUGAGUGCCAAGCCCAAGCAAGAACUCAUCAUAACCAGGCAUCUGACAUAAUAGUCAUCAGCAGUGAGGACUCUGAAGGAUCCACUGACGUUGAUGAGCCCUUAGAAGUCUUCAUCUCAGCACCGAGAAGUGAGCCUGGUAAGGAAGUUUGGGAGAGCAAGACUUGGGCUGUGGGAAUCUGAUUUAAGAGCUACUGUUUCCUGAGGCAUUUUAUUCUGAGCUCAUUCUGUACAAUGGAUCCAGUUUAUC